UACGUAGGGUGCAAGCGUUGUCCGGAAUUAUUGGGCGUAAAGAGCUCGUAGGCGGUUUGUCGCGUCUGCUGUGAAAACCCGAGGCUCAACCUCGGGCCUGCAGUGGGUACGGGCAGACUAGAGUGCGGUAGGGGAGAUUGGAAUUCCUGGUGUAGCGGUGGAAUGCGCAGAUAUCAGGAGGAACACCGAUGGCGAAGGCAGAUCUCUGAGCCGUAACUGACGCUGAGGAGCGAAAGCAUGGGGAGCGAACAGG
rnacentral:rRNA from 1 species